GUUUAACACAUGUUAGAGACUUAAAAGAUGCAAUUGCAUCACUAGUAGAUGGACCUGCGUUGUAUUAGCUAGUUGGUGGGGUAACGGCCUACCAAGGCGACGAUACAUAGCCGACCUGAGAGGGUGAUCGGCCACACUGGGACUGAGACACGGCCCAGACUCCUACGGGAGGCAGCAGUAGGGAAUCUUCGGCAAUGGGGGCAACCCUGACCGAGCAACGCCGCGUGAGUGAAGAAGGUUUUCGGAUCGUAAAGCUCUGUUGUAAGAGAAGAACGUGUGUGAGAGUGGAAAGUUCACACAGUGACGGUAACUUACCAGAAAGGGACGGCUAACUACGUGCCAGCAGCCGCGGUAAUACGUAGGUCCCGAGCGUUGUCCGGAUUUAUUGGGCGUAAAGCGAGCGCAGGCGGUUUAAUAAGUCUGAAGUUAAAGGCAGUGGCUUAACCAUUGUUCGCUUUGGAAACUGUUAAACUUGAGUGCAGAAGGGGAGAGUGGAAUUCCAUGUGUAGCGGUGAAAUGCGUAGAUAUAUGGAGGAA
rnacentral:rRNA from 1 species